GUUAUGGUUUAGGGUUUAGGGUCUAGGGUUUAGGGUUUAUGGUUUAUGGUUUAGGGAUUAGGGUUUAUGGUUUAAGGUUUAGGGUUUAGAGUUUAUGGUUUUGGUUUAGGAUUUAGGGUUUGGGGUUCAGGGUUUACAGUUUAGGGUUUAGUGUUUGUGGGUUAGGGUUUUGAAUUUAGGGUUUUUGGUUCAUGGUUUGGGGUUUAGGGCUUAUUGGUUAGGGGUUAAGGUUUAUGGUUUAGUGUUUAAAGUUUUGGGUUUUGGGUUUAGGGUAUAGGGUUUAGGGUUUUGGGGUUAUGCUAUAUGAUUUAGUGUUUAGGGUUUAUGGUUUUGAGCUUAUGGUUUAGAGUUUAGGGCUUAGUGUUUAGGGUUUAGGGUUUGGCGUUAGGGUUUUGAGUUUAGAGAUUGUGGUUUAGGGUUUAGGGUUUAAGAUUUAUGAUUAAAGGUUAAUGGUUUAGGCUUUAGGGUAUGGGGUUUAUGGUUUAGGGUUUUGUUUUAGGGUUUAGGGUUUAGGGUUUAGGUUUUAUGGCUUAA